UACGGGGGGGGCAAGCGUUGUUCGGAAUUACUGGGCGUAAAGGGCUCGUAGGCGGCCAACUAAGUCCUGCGUGAAAUCCUGCGGCUCAACCGCAGACGGUCGUGGGAAACUGGAAGGCUAGAGUGCGGGAGAGGAGAGUGGAAUUCCCGGUGUAGCGGUGAAAUGCGCAGAUAUCGGGAAGAACACCCGUGGCGAAGGCGGCUCUCUGGAACGCAACUGACGCUGAGACGCGAAAGCGUGGGGAGCAAACAGG
rnacentral:rRNA from 1 species